GACGAACGCUGGCGGCGUGCUUAACACAUGCAAGUCGAACGGAAAGGCCCUGCUUUUGUGGGGUGCUCGAGUGGCGAACGGGUGAGUAACACGUGAGUAACCUGCCCUUGACUUUGGUAUAACUUCAGGAAACUGGGGCUAAUACCGGAUAGGAGCUCCUGCUGCAUGGUGGGGGUUGGAAAGUUUCGGCGGUUGGGGAUGGACUCGCGGCUUAUCAGCUUGUUGGGGGGGUAGUGGCUUACCCAGGCUUUGACGGGUAGCCGGCCUGAGAGGGUGACCGGCCACAAUGGGACUGAGAUACGGCGCAGACGCCUACGGGAGGCAGUAGGGGGGAAUAUUGCACAAUGGGCGGAAGCCUGAUGCAGCAACGCCGCGGGCGGGAUGACGGCCUUCGGGUUGUAAACCGCUUUCGCCUGUGACGAAGCGGGAGUGACGGUAAUGGGUAAAGAAGCACCGGCUAACUACGUG
rnacentral:rRNA from 1 species